UCUAUUCCUGAAAGCUGUCCCCUGACUUCCAAUGCACACUAUGGCACACAGGUAAGUCCCUACCCCCGGUACAUGCACACACACACACACACACACACACACACACACACACACACGUGAUAAAAUAAAUAGCAUUUACAGAAAGAUGAAUAUGAUGACAUCGUGCUUGUAAAGCUGAAGCAGGACAAUGGUGAGUUCCAGGACAGUCUUGACUGCAAAACAACAUUCUGUCUUAGAACAAACAAACAAACAAAGCCCACUAAAGAUGUGCAAUGCACAUACUAGUGUGACUUGAAUACUUAUUAAGCUGGGAGUCAUGAUUCAUGGCCGUUACCCCAGUGUGUGGAAGACUGGGACAGUAAAAUCAUGAACCUAAGCUGGUGUGGAGCUCACUGACAGGACCUGUUGAGCAUACACAAGACUCUGGGUUCACUUCCCAACACCAAAGCCAUUCACACCUUAAAGCCAGCAUUCAGAGAUGUCAGAGGCAAGUGUACCUCUAUGAGGUAGGCCAUCCUGGACUACAUUGGUAGUUCUACCCAGCAAGAGCCACGAAGUCAAGUAAGACACUGCCUCAAACAAAAGAAAAAGAAAACCAUAUUCUAAAAUGGA